rnacentral:rRNA from 1 species
UACGUAGGGUGCGAGCGUUGCCCGGAUUUAUUGGGCGUAAAGGGCGCGUAGGCGGCCACGCACGUCCGUUGUGAAAUCGCCCGGCUCAACUGGGCGGGGUCAGCGGAUACGGUGUGGCUCGAGCAAGCUAGGGGGCAAUGGAAUUCCCGGUGUAGUGGUGGAAUGCGUAGAUAUCUGGAGGAACACCGGUGGCGAAGGCGGCAUCCUGGACCGGUAUUGACGCUGAGGCGCGAAAGCCAGGGGAGCAAACGGG